rnacentral:rRNA from 1 species
AUUACCCAAUCCUGACACGGGGAGGUAGUGACAAGAAAUAACAAUACGGGGCUUAAUGUCUUGUAAUUGGAAUGAUGGGAAUUUAAACCUCUUCCAGAGUAUCAAUUGGAGGGCAAGUCUGGUGCCAGCAGCCGCGGUAAUUCCAGCUCCAAUAGCGUAUAUUAAAAUUGUUGCAGUUAAAAAGCUCGUAGUUGAAUUUCUGCUGCAUCGUCGCAUCUCUUGCUGAGUGCUUCGUUUCGGCUUAUUUCGGAUUGAUUUUUUCUUUCCGGAUGAUUACUUUGAGAAAAUUAGAGUGCUCAAAGCAGGCUUUUGCCUUGAAUAGUUUAGCAUGGAAUAAUAAAGUAGGACUUUGGUUCUAUUUUGUUGGUUUUAGGUACCAAAGUAAUGGUUAAUAGGAACAGUUGGGGGCAUUCGUAUUUAA